rnacentral:rRNA from 1 species
GCCUAAUAMAUGCAAGUCGAACGGCCAKCMCAGCAGAGCUUGCUCUGUGGGUGGCGAGUGGCGGACGGGUGAGGAAUACGUGGGAAUCUGCCCAGUCGUGGGGGAUAACGUAGGGAAACUUACGCUAAUACCGCAUGCGCCCUUCGGGGGAAAGCCGGGGACCUUCGGGCCUGGCGCGAUUGGAUGAGCCCACGUCGGAUUAGCUAGUUGGCGGGGUAAAGGCCCACCAAGGCGACGAUCCGUAGCUGGUCUGAGAGGAUGAUCAGCCACACUGGAACUGAGACACGGUCCAGACUCCUACGGGAGGCAGCAGUAGGGAAUAUUGGACAAUGGGCGCAAGCCUGAUCCAGCCAUGCCGCGUGAGUGAAGAAGGCCCUCGGGUUGUAAAGCUCUUUUGUCCGGAAAGAAAAGCGCCGGGUUAAUACCCUGGUGUCCUGACGGUACCGGAAGAAUAAGCACCGGCUAACUUCGUGCCAGCAGCCGCGGUAAUACGAAGGGUGCAAGCGUUACUCGGAAUUACUGGGCGUAAAGCGUGCGUAGGUGGUUCGUUAAGUCCGAUGUGAAAGCCCCUGGGCUCAMCCUGGGAAUGGCAUUGGAUACUGGCGGGCUAGAGUGCGGUAGAGGGUAGUGGAAUUCCCGGUGUAGCAGUGAAAUGCGUAGAGAUCGGGAGGAACAUCCGUGGCGAAGGCGACUACCUGGACCAGCACUGMACACUGAGGGCACGAAARGCGUGKGGAGCAAACAGGAUUAGAUACCYCUGGUAGMUCCACSWCCCUAAACGAUGCCGAMCUGGAAUGUUGGGCUCAACUUUGGAAGCUCGGAAUCGAAAGCUARCSC